rnacentral:rRNA from 1 species
UACGUAGGGUGCGAGCGUUACUCGGAAUUACUGGGCGUAAAGCGUGCGCAGGCGGUGAUGUAAGGCAGAUGUGAAAUCCCCGGGCUCAACCUGGGACCUGCAUUUGUGACUGCAUCGCUAGAGUACGGCAGAGGGGGAUGGAAUUCCGCGUGUAGCAGUGAAAUGCGUAGAUAUGCGGAGGAACACCGAUGGCGAAGGCAAUCCCCUGGGCCUGUACUGACGCUCAUGCACGAAAGCGUGGGGAGCAAACAGG